rnacentral:rRNA from 1 species
UACGGAGGGUGCAAGCGUUAUCCGGAUUCACUGGGUUUAAAGGGUGCGUAGGUGGGCAGGUAAGUCAGUGGUGAAAUCUCCGGGCUUAACCCGGAAACUGCCAUUGAUACUAUCUGUCUUGAAUACCGUGGAGGUGAGCGGAAUAUGUCAUGUAGCGGUGAAAUGCUUAGAUAUGACAUAGAACACCAAUGCGAAGGCAGCUCACUACACGAAUAUUGACACUGAGGCACGAAAGCGUGGGGAUCAAACA